UUUUAUGUCAUGAGUAGUGUAGUUUGUGAUGUCGGUAAUGAGUUAUUUGACAAAAUUAGUCUUUUUAAGUUAUCUGAUUAUGCUAAAGGACUUAUUCAUAAGGAAAAAGAAAUUAUUUAGAAAAACUGUGCAAGUGCAAAGCAGACUGUCCCUACGUACUGCCAAAAGAAAUGUGGCAGAAAACUAUCAGUGUUAUUGAAAAGUUUUUACCACCUAUAAGAGAGCAUGAGCUUUACAUGUAUUUAAUUGCAAGACGGAGCAGGGAUACAAAAAUGCAACUUAAUGCAAUCAAGACCAUACAUGAAGCAAUCAAGUGGUUGGGUCUCUGCGCUCUCAGCAAUCCAUUUGGAGGAUGGCAAAGUUCUUGUAAAAGCACAAGUUCACCACUCACAGUCUCUUAGAAAAAAGGAACUGAUGCCUUGGGUAAGUAUUAGUAGCAAUAAAGCCAUAAUUGCUGGUCAUUGCCAGUGAACAGCUGGGCUUGGUGGUGUUUGCUGUCAUGUUGGUGCAGUUCUGUGUAGCAAAAAAUGAAAAUAAUUUGUACUCGAUAUCAGGUUGCUAUUGAAACUUACAAACAACAAUUAGAGGAAUUAGAAAUAAACAAGAACCAACAAAUACAGAUAUUGGAAACACAAAACGGAGAGCUGCAGGAUACCAUAAAAAACUUAGAAAAAGAAAUAGAAGGAAUGAAAAAUCUAGAAAAAGAAAUACAAAUUCAACAACCAACAAACUUCAUUCCUGAAUCUAAUUACAACGAGGAAGAUUCAACUUCAUAUAACAAUGUAUCUGAAGAUGAAUCUGAUGUAACCUUACAAAACUACGAACUUACAAAAUACCCCCAACACAGCCAUUUACAAUUCCAUUGCGUGUUAAACAACAACUUGAACAAAAAGUCAAUGAAAUAGUAGCAGAAGACUGGACAAUUGAUACCAUUAAAAAUUCCCACUACACCAUGUACAAAUUCACAAGUGAAUUAAUGUCUUCAAUAUUCACCAAUGAAUAUUUAAAAACGCACAAACGAUCUGGCAAAGGCGGAAAACCAGGAGCAAUCCAGCGGGAAAUCAUGAACCCGACAUACGUAGAAGAAAUAACAAGUAAUAGCAUAAAACUAAUAAAUAUAAAAAUAAGUAAAAUUUUCAACUAAUUAAUUAAUCUUAGAAUACCUAAUUCACAUUAAAAACAAUAACUUAUUACUAAUUAGACUAUCAUUAAAUUAAUUUAUUAUUUUGUAUUGUUUUAUUUAAUUAAUUUAUCAUUAAAUUAAUUUAUUAUUUUGUUUUUAUGUAUUCCAUACGG